CUGGGACAGUGGUGUUACAGCACAACAUAAGAACAAACUAUAAAAUUCAGUUGAAAAGGUUUCGUCAUAUUUUUAUAGGUCAACUAGAUAUAGGAAGAUGUGGUUUGAGUGCCAAUGAGACAACACUCCAUCCAAAUAACAAUUAAAAAAAAAAAAAAAAAAUAAAAGUAAUGAUCAACAAGUGAUUGUAGAAUUGAAUAACCAAAAACAUACUAACACCUGCUGUCAACACCAACUUCCCCAAAACAAAAGCUUUAGGGGGGAUCGCAGGC
rnacentral:lncRNA from 1 species